AAAUAUAAUUAUAUAGCAUAAAUAUUUAUAUUUGACCUAUAAUUAAGCUAUUAUUAAUCAGAAAUUUUAAAUUUUCUAUAUAUACAAGUAGUCUCUUAUUUGCAAAAUUCAGAUUUAUACUUUUUCAGUAUAAUGUUUGUUAAUAGAAAGUUUAUUUAACAUCAUUUGUUUCUUAUAUAUAGUAAGUAUGAUCCUAUUAGGCACUCAGAUGUGCAAAUUAGUCGCAUGCAUAGUGCAAGUCAUUUUAAAAAGAAAAAGGACUGAAAAACAAAAUCUUAUUUCAACUAAACUAAUUUGAAAAUAGACAUUCUUCAUUGUAAAAUAUUUACUUAAAUAUUCUUCUGUAGUUUAAACAUCAAGAAACUGGAAAAAACAAUCCUUAAUUGACAAAUCUAGAAGACUAAAAGAUUUCUGAAAAAUAAAUACAUGAUUAGAAAACUGGAUCUCCCUAUAAUAUAGUAUGGAUCAGUCCAUUCAAAAUUUCUAUGAUUGGUUGAAUUCUGCUCAGCUUGAAUUCCAAUAUCAACUCAUCCUUAUCUAUAAUAUUCUUUUGAAUUGAGCACUUCAAGAUUAGAUCUGUUUCCACAUUGUUCACAUUUUGUUCAUUAUCAACAAUUUUUAAAAAUUUUUUGUGGUUUGUUUUUCUCAAAUUUUAUUUUUCAUCUAGUAUUGUGAGAGUUGUUUCAUACAGUAUAUCUUCAAAUUAUUAUUAUUUCUCUAUUAUUUAUAUCAAAGUUCAAGCUAUCUAAGAAAAAAACUAAACACUUUAAGCAGUUGUGUGAACUUUCUUUUAAUCUGGCUAAUGUUUUCUGCACUGCAACUUUGCCGUCUUCAGGCUCUAAAAUACUGUUGUAUUUUAGAGCCUGAGGAUGGCGGGGUUGUAGUGCAGAGGAAGUUAGCCAGAUUAAGCAGUUGUGUGGACUUUCUUUUAAAGUGUUUAGUUUUUCUUGAAUAUUUAGUACAGUGUUUAAAGCAGUAUAAUCAUAGUAGUAUGGUUAAAGAUAUCUUAAAUAUUUUUCUUCAACUUUUUGUUUGAUAAUAUUCUGAAGUUAAUAUUCAUUCAACAAUAUAAUUCUGUAAAUUAAUAUUUUCAUUUAUUUCUUAUGAUGCCCAUUACAUUAAAAUUUAAUUAUAUAAUGUUUUAAAAAAUUUUUCUUUAUUACUAAAUUUUUGGCACUUAUAAUUAUUAAUAAUUUUUCUCUAUAUUGUAUCUAACGAGAUAUAGUGUAUAGAGUGCUUCAAGGAUGGCCAUGUUAGAAGCAAAUUGAGUCACCUGCCAGCCAUUUUAUUGGUUGGCAGAAACUUUAAAUAAACCUAUCAUUAAUGCGAAAUGAAAUAGUUCUAAAUGUUGUUAAAAUAAGUGCGACUAUAUUAUAAUUUAAUUAUUAAUGUUUUAAUAAAUCUUCAAGUGUUAAAGAUUUUGGAUUAAAUUUAAUAUUAUUUAAAGUAGUUUAUUUUUUAUUUAAAAAAAAUUUCAAAAAAUAAAAGAUUACUUUAUUUAUUUAAAAUUAAUGUCAUUUAAAUUAUGUGUAGUGCAUAUGUAUAACCAAAUGUAAUAUAUAAUCUGUAAUGGCAUUGUGUUUAUGUUAGGGUGAAGAUAUUACUACAUGAAACAAAUCUUUCAUAUGCAGAGCUGUGAUUUUUCUUUUUAGAGAGUAAUAAUUG
rnacentral:lncRNA from 1 species